CUCAGAGACGCCCACAGGCGUGUGCCCCAGAGAGGCACAGGCGUUCACACAGACUCAGGCACGUUCCCAUACACACUCAUACACGCACAUUCACACACACCCAAAGAAACUCGUGGGCACUCACCACUUGCACAGAUCUCUCGGCCUAAGUAAACUCUUUAGGUUCUGGCCCAGCCAGUUAGGCGAACACACCCGCUAUCUCUGUCCGUGGUGCUGAAACCAGAUCUUUCUCCUUACCGAAGGACAAGGCAGGGAAGAGAUAAGAGGAGCCCCGAGAUGCGUGGUAGAAGACAGAAGGAAUGGAGGAGAGAGAGGAUAUGAGAGGAAGAAACUCACAGAUAAAGGAGAGAGAGAAUCUAAAGGAUACUAGGGGCGCCAAGCGGGGAUGCCCAAACACUGGGACUAGAAGAGGCAGGUUGAGGACUUCCCUCCAUCUGAAACAGCACCAGGCAGGAAGGAGGCUGUCCAGGUGUGGACGAGGAGGGUUCCUGAUGUCCUGUUGGGUAACUCAUGGUGAUGUCAAGCUCCACUCUUCCAGAGCCCCAGUUCAAUCCCCCAAAUGAAAUGAGGCCACUGUGAGAAACCGGGUCCGGCUUUGCAUCUCAUUUACAUAAAUAUUUAUUAAUCGUCAUU
rnacentral:lncRNA from 1 species